AUCCAGCAGCAGCUCUGCCACCCUCAUCUGAUCCUCCUGUUCGAAGAUGGAAUUCUGGGAUGGAAGAGAGAGGCACGCUUCACAGUACACUAAAUACAGAACUCUUCCUGGAUGGAGCUCCUCUUCCCACACAUAUCCCAACAGGACUCCCACAGCUCACUUCCCAGAGUCCAGAUCAGAGAGUCCGGGCUGGAUGGGUGAACCAAGCAGUUGGUUGAUACCAGGUUCCAGAACUGGUGGAA